rnacentral:hammerhead_ribozyme from 1 species
AUCCAGCUGGCGAGUCCCAAAUAGGACGAAACGGGUGUCCUGGAU